ACUAACAAGGAUUCCCCUAGUAACUGCGAGUGAAGCGGGAAAAGCUCAAAUUUAAAAUCUGGCGGUCUUUGGCYGUCCGAGUUGUAAUCUGGAGAAGUGCUUUCCGCUCUGGACCGUGUACAAGUCUCUUGGAAUAGAGCGUCAUAGAGGGUGAGAAUCCCGUCUUUGACACGGACUACCAGUGCUUUGUGAUGUGCUUUCAAAGAGUCGAGUUGUUUGGGAAUGCAGCUCAAAAUGGGUGGUAAAUUCCAUCUAAAGCUAAAUAUUGGCGAGAGACCGAUAGCGAACAAGUACCGUGAGGGAAAGAUGAAAAGCACUUUGGAAAGAGAGUUAAACAGUACGUGAAAUUGCUGAAAGGGAAACACUUGAAGUCAGUCGCGUUGUUCAGAACUCAGCCUUGCCUUGGCUUGGUGCAUUUUCUGAAUGACGGGCCAGCAUCAAUUUUGACUGUCGGAUAAAGGCCAGAGAAAUGUGGCUCCUUUGGGAGUGUUAUAGUCUUUGGUUGCAUACGAUGGUUGGGAUUGAGGAACUCAGCAUGCCUUUAUGGUCGGGGUUCGCCCACGUUCAUGCUUAGGAUGCUGGCGUAAUGGCUUUAAAUGACCCGUCUUGAAACACGGACCAAGGAGUCUAACAUGCCUGCGAGUGUUUGGGUGGAAAACCCGAGCGCGCAAUGAAAGUGAAAGUUGGGAUCUCUGUCGUGGAGAGCACCGACGCCCGGACCAGACCUUCUGUGACGGAUCCGCGGUAGAGCAUGUAUGUUGGGACCCGAAAGAUGGUGAACUAUGCCUGAAUAGGGUGAAGCCAGAGGAAACUCUGGUGGAGGCUCGUAGCGAUUCUGACGUGCAAAUCGAUCGUCAAAUUUGGGUAUAGGGGCGAAAGACUAAUCGAACCAUCU
rnacentral:rRNA from 1 species